AGAGAAGCGAAGCGGUGACGUGGAGCAAACCUCAGAAAGCCAAUCUCAGUUCGGAUUGUAGGCUGCAACUCGCCUACAUGAAGUUGGAAUCGCUAGUAAUCGCGAAUCAGAAUGUCGCGGUGAAUACGUUCCCGGGUCUUGUACACACCGCCCGUCACACCACGAGAGUUUACAACACCCGAAGUCAGUGGCCUAACCGCAAGGAGGGAGCUGCCUAAGGUGGGGUAGAUGAUUGGGGUGAAGUCGUAACAAGGUAGC
rnacentral:rRNA from 1 species